AUUGAACGCUGGCGGCAUGCCUUACACAUGCAAGUCGAACGGUAACAGGUCUUCGGAUGCUGACGAGUGGCGAACGGGUGAGUAAUACAUCGGAACGUGCCCGAUCGUGGGGGAUAACGGAGCGAAAGCUUUGCUAAUACCGCAUACGAUCUACGGAUGAAAGCAGGGGACCGCAAGGCCUUGCGCGGACGGAGCGGCCGAUGGCAGAUUAGGUAGUUGGUGGGAUAAAAGCUUACCAAGCCGACGAUCUGUAGCUGGUCUGAGAGGACGACCAGCCACACUGGGACUGAGACACGGCCCAGACUCCUACGGGAGGCAGCAGUGGGGAAUUUUGGACAAUGGGCGCAAGCCUGAUCCAGCCCAUGCCGCGUGCAGGAUGAAGGCCUUCGGGUUGUAAACUGCUUUUGUACGGAACGAAAAGACUCUUUCUAAUAAAGAGGGUCCAUGACGGUACCGUAAGAAUAAGCACCGGCUAACUACGUG
rnacentral:rRNA from 1 species